rnacentral:lncRNA from 1 species
CUGAUUAGGUUCUACCGAUGAUUAGGUUGCACCGAUAUCUUGAUAUGCUAUACAUCUUUCUACCCAACAGAGACGUCCAGAUGGAAAUAAUCACAAUGGGCUCCGAUUCAAAUAAUUUUUAUGAUACUGCAGGACAAAACUUAUCGAAGGCAAUGAAAAUAAUACCAAUCUCUUGCUGCUGUGUCCUUGGGCUCGUUUAUAUUGUCGCAGAUUUGUCUGAGGGAGAUAAGAAAGGCGUGUUGGUGGUCCUCAUGUGCUUCGCCAUUGUCGUGUUGGUGCAAGUCUACCUCUACUUGCCUAAUAAAUACCUGCAAUUCAUGAAUCGACAUUCGGAAGUAGUUUUUGAAUGAUUGCUGCUACUAUAUAUUCAAACCUUAUAAUAAUUAUUGUUAGACUGACGUUGUAGUGACGAAAUUCCUAAUAAUUCAUUUCAGGCAAUGAGUUUUACCAAGUUGGUGUUAAUGACUAUUUUUUAUUUCAAUUCGGAAUGAGUAGCGUGAGAACCAAAUUGAAAGGCUGUAAGAAAAUUCAGAUUAAUCUGUUUUUGCAAGCAGAUGUCAUGAAAUAUGAUGCUAAUUAACGCGCUGCAUUCGCAAUAAACCCAUUGAGA